UACGGAGGGUGCAAGCGUUAAUCGGAAUUACUGGGCGUAAAGCGCACGUAGGCGGUUUGAUAAGCCAGCCGUGAAAGCCCCGGGCUCAACCUGGGAAUUGCGGUUGGAACUGUCAAGCUGGAGUACAGUAGAGGGGUGUGGAAUUUCAGGUGUAGCGGUGAAAUGCGUAGAUAUCUGAAGGAACAUCAGUGGCGAAGGCGACACCCUGGACUGAUACUGACGCUGAGGUGCGAAAGCGUGGGGAGCAAACAGG
rnacentral:rRNA from 1 species